AUUAGUUUUCCUACCUUUUAAAUGCUUUCUUUAUCAUUGUUAUGCUUCAAUCAGUCAAACAACAGAACACAGAUGUUUAGCUUUUCACCUCUAACGCAAUGAUAGUCACUAACAGGGAUCCUGAAAUACUUUUAUCUCUGUAGUACUACCUCAGUUUGAAAAGUUAAUUUGCUACAGUAGUAAGCUGUAAUUUUUUAACAGUGUACUAACGAUUUUAAAAGAAAAGUGCACUGAGGUACAUUAAAUAUAGUUUGUUGUCUGGGAUACAACUGUAUUGAUACCAAUUUGUUUUAUCCAAGGAAACACAUGCUUUGGAAAUUCUACAAAAACAAAACAAAACAAAAAAAACUUACUAAAAAUAAUUCUUAUUUCCAAAUAAGAUGUGGGGCCCUUAUGCAAUAAUAUCACAAGACUGUAAGUGGAGCACCAUUGCUUAUCUAGAACAAAAACUAAUUAUGUCUCUUUGGUUUAAAGAUCCAAAUCUCCACCUUGUUCCCAACUUUAAAAUAUUCUGGAACAGACUAUAUUUGUUUGCACAUCUAGAACUACUGUUGUUUCUGAAUCAUUUUUAGAUUAAAUACUUUAGAACAGAAAUUGUCUCUUUCUCCUAAUGCCUCUGCUGUGGACUGUGGUAAAUCAUUUAUUGAGCUACUGUCUUUUUCUCGUGUCGUCUUUGUUGGACUUUUGGGGCCUAAGACUGAGGUUCCAAAUGUAACCCUUCUGAGCUCUUUGUAGGAAUUUUUAAAACAGACUGAAAGAAAACCUAAUCUAUGCUUCUAGUAUUUUUUUUUUUAAGUAUCAGAUAACCUGCACCUCCUGAAGUAAUGUUCCAUUAAUGUUUGUUGAAUGGAUGUAUUUGAUUUAUUUGUUUAUUUAUUUAUUUGCAGAGGUUUGUACUUCAUGAUAAUAUCUAUAGAUAUAGUUGUCCUCAACAUGCCUAUUGAAGCAAACUAAUAAUUAUUUGCCUGAAUGUUUUUCAUAUUAUUUCCAUAAUGUUUCAAGAUCUGUAUACUUAAAGUUUAUGUUUUAGUUCUUUCUUUUUGCAGAAGGAUACAGGCAAAGGAAAUUCUGGUAUCCGAACAUCUCAUCAGCUUGAAAGACAAAAGCAACAAAUGUUAAUAAAAAUGUGAUAAUUUAUUAUAAUUUAAUACAAUAUCUUCGUAUUCCAGUGUACGGUAUCAGCACAGCAAAGAUGUUGGCAGAAGCUACUACAGAGCAGAACAGAAGUGGUUUAUGUGGUCAGGAAAUUAGGGGAUACCUAUAUAAAAAAAAAAAAAAAAAAAGAAAAAUCCAAACUUCCAGCCUAUUUUGCAGAAAUGCCUUUGAGUCCCUAUUUUUGAUAUUUUCAGCUUGAGUUUGCAUAUUACAGUGAUUCCUCAUGGUGUAUUAUAAGGUUUCAUGUAUGUUCUUUAAAAUGAUUGUUGAUAGUUGGGCUGAAAUUAGAGCCCAUUAGUGGUCAUUCUAGCCAGUGCUAAAGGAUACCAGUUUUUAAUCUGUCAGACUCUGUACUGCACUUUCCUGAUCUUGCAAUGCAUUUCUCUAACACAGAAAGUGAAGUGCAUUCCAUCUCCUCUUUUGCUGUGUGGCCUGGCUCUUCUCCUAGCUAGACAAGUCACUAUUUCUUAAUCUUUUACUUCUGGAAUCCACACUUCCUUUUUGAUACCAAUGUGGGACACUGAUUUAUCAGCUAUUAACCUUUAUUGCACAGCAUCUUUUGUUUCCUGUAUCUGUGUAUUAACAUGUCUUACAACAAUAUUGCUUCUGCAGCCUCUUCCAGUUUGUCUCCCUUUAUCCUGUCUGCAGGUAUGCUGUUUCUAAGAGAUGACUGUUUUUGCUUUGUACUAUGAGUAGGCAGAAGUGAUACUUGUAUUUAAUGUGAAAAAUGAUGUUUUCCCUAAAAGUACAGUUUGUUCAGACAAACACUAAAUAAUUCUUGUUUCAGAUAGCAACCCAGCUGAAGCUAUCUUCUCCAGCCUGCAUAGCACCACAAGGAAAAACUCAUUAUUUGAAGAACACUCCUACUCAGAAUUUAUCACCUACAAUGAAGAGUGCUCCAGAAGUAACACAUCCUAUUUUAUUAUAUUGUCCCAUGACAUCAAAGGCAGAUGCUUGUUGUAAGGCAUUAGAGGAUGAACCUUUCCACCAUUUUUUCCAUUACAUUGUGUUGCAGUGUGGCAGAUGGCAGCAGAGAAGCAGUCUAACAAACUGGCAUCUGACGUGGAAUUGCAUAUGAAGCAAUGGUGCGGAACUGAAUGCCUCCGAGCUGAAAAAAUUGCAUGAAUUGACAUUCAUGGAUGCUUGCUGAAUGUUUCUGGAGACCAAACUGUAUGUUAGCACAGUGAGGCAGUGGGUGGUAUGUUUCAGCAGUGGUGACAGCGACAGAUUGCAGAUUUUUCCAAGCGCAGCAUGCAGAUUUUUGUUCAUUAGUAAUGAAAAUGCAUAGCUAAUGGUGGUGUUGAAAAAUAGUGUUUUGUAGCUGAGAAUGUGCUCUAUCAAAUAGUAUUAUUGUAUUCUCUGUAUCUGUUGUAGUUUCCAUGGAAAUAAAUAGAAGGCAUUACUUUCAGGGUGACAUACACCUGUUAAGAAAAUGCAAACCUUUGUCCUUAUUGGCUUGCUAAUCUGGCUCACAAAAGUGACUGCAUCAUAGUGUGAUAUCAGCAUCCAGUUUCUAUAUUCUGAUCUGCAUUAUAUUUGACUGUGCCACUUCAGGAGUAUUCAGAGGCCAUUGUGAGGCUUGAGUGGUUCAUUUAUUGGAAUAGAACAAGUUAUGAGUUUACUCAUUGAACUCAAGGGAAAAUGUGAAAGUAACUGGGUAUUUUCGUACUGUUGGUGUUCACAUAUUUGCUUAAAGAAUCAAGCUGAUCCUUUAAUGAGACUUGUAUAUAAGUGGUCUGUUUUCUAUUUUUUGCUUUUUUAUGUUUUGAAGAUUAAAUAACCUUUUUAGUUUCUUUACAUUUUUCUUCAUCUGUGUAUUUUAA